GAUACUAUCAAUAUUUCCCGAUGGUUCUGGGCAGAUCAAACGGGGAUUGUCGGAUGUCAACAUUACAGUGAGUAGUGAUGAUAUAACAGAGACGGUAGCCUUUACCAUAUACAACACAACAUCUGUAGAUUUCAGCUACUCUUACAGCUUAAAAAUAGAAUUCAGGGAAACACUAUACAAGCAAACUGAGUAUAUUGAAAUUAUUGAAGAGCUAAAUGAAAAUGGGGGAUCUUUUCAACGAAUCAAACUGGUUUACGGACUUCUUGUACUGGUCUUGGUCGUCGUUGUGAUUGCUUUUCUUUCAGCAUUUUCAUUUUAUCUGAUGAAAAGACCACAUCGCACAGCUAACACGGGGAUGACCAGUAAUGCAGCUAACGAUGCGAUAAACAAUUCAUAUGAGUCAGUCAAUACUGCGGAUAUUAUAACUGACAACAAUCAACUGAUGGUAUUCGAUUCAUCUUCACCCGACCUUGACCCAUAUCUCAACCCGUACAAUGAAACAAAUAGAACUGAAACAGAAAGCGAUAAACACGAUUAUAUGCAACUGAAAAUCUGCACAUCUAUUUGUGAGGGUGACAUAAUAAAUGGGGAUGUUGAGGAACAAAAUGAGGACAGUGAUACUCCAUCUUCGCAUGACUCUGAAUCAUAUUUCCACAUGUACGAUCAACCAAAUAGAACUAAAACUGAGUGCGAUAAACACGAUUAUACACAACUGAAACGAUGCACCAUAUUUUGUGAUGUUAACAACGACGAUGUUCAGGAAAUAAAUAAUGACAGCGAUGGUAGAUCAGGAAACGGCAUCGAUUCAUUCAAUUUGUCUACUCAUGUUGGUGCUAUCGAUUCCCGAAUUCAAAAUGAAAUAAACUCCACAUACAUAACUCCAGUAUUUGAAAGAUAUUGAUUUUGGAUAGUUUGCAAAAACCAAAGAACAAAAUUGUGUGCAUGGCAUGGUUGGCUUCCAAAAUAAAAUAAAACCAAGUACGAACAAUCCAAAUAGUUUAUCCAGCAUAUGGACGGUUCACCGUUUUCAAAAUUAUACAACAAAACUGUGUUUAUAGAGUGUAGAUUAUACUGAGAAAGAAGAAAAGUCAUAAGUUUGCCGAAAUAUUUACCAAUUUAAAUUAAAACAAUUGUGAUUUCAUAAUCUUUAAAGCUUCCUUAUAACUGAACUGUGUAAGUGUAUAAUAUGUGUUCAUAAAUAUCGCAUAAUUUAGUGUGUGUGAAUAUGGACGCAAAACGGAUCAUUAUCACCAAAACCAGCAAUGAACUCUGGCGCUUUGCUAAGACCCCAUAUUGUGUGGUAACUAUACCAUUAAUGUUUUUGUUAAAUCUGUUGUUUUAUUAUUUGUAAUAGUUAUUAGUAAGAACUGUUCGGUCAAUGCUUGCGUCAUGGGUGGCCGGAGAUUUUGUUAAAUUUACAAGAGCAUUUAGUAUUAUUAGUAGUGUUCUCAGCGUUUACCCUUGUUUUUAUUAUUUUAGUGAUGUUCGCAGGUUUGUUAGCGACACCUUUCUUGUUAUCGUUACAUUCGUUUUUAUUAUUUGAGUAUUAUUAUACUAUAUGUACGACACCGUACCAGUAAUUAAUUCUCAAUUAAGGAGAUUAACUACCCUUGGAUAAUUUUAGAUGAAAAUGAUGGAGAUACCGAAAAUGUAGAACCUUUAGUUUGAAUUUGGUCGUCAAUAUUAUUUCAUCGAUAAUAGGUAUUUCGUAUGAUGUUAUAUAUCAUGAACAGUGUUUGCAGAAAUUAAAUCCUUAAGAUCCAAGGAGAUCACGGCGGAUACAAUAGGAACUUUUGUAAACCUAAUAUUCCCCCAAAGGGCAAAUACAUGCUUAUUGUAGAUGCUUCACUUGAGAGGAAUUACUGCUGAAUAACGCAUUACGA